rnacentral:rRNA from 1 species
UACGAAGGGGGCUAGCGUUGCUCGGAAUCACUGGGCGUAAAGCGCACGUAGGCGGAUUGCUAAGUCAGGGGUGAAAUCCUGGAGCUCAACUCCAGAACUGCCUUUGAUACUGGCGAUCUCGAGUCCGGGAGAGGUGAGUGGAACUGCGAGUGUAGAGGUGAAAUUCGUAGAUAUUCGCAAGAACACCAGUGGCGAAGGCGGCUCACUGGCCCGGUACUGACGCUGAGGUGCGAAAGCGUGGGGAGCAAACAGGGAGU